GUUCCUACGGGACGCAGCAGUGAGGAAUAUUGGUCAAUGGGCGAGAGCCUGAACCAGCCAAGUCGCGUGAAGGAUGACGGCCCUACGGGUUGUAAACUUCUUUUGUCAGGGAGCAAUUGGGUCCACGCGUGGGCUUAGCGAGAGUACCUGAAGAAAAAGCAUCGGCUAACUCCGUGCCAGCAGCCGCGGUAAUACGGAUGCUGCGCGAGUUAUCCGGAUUGAUUGGGUUUAAAGGGUGCGUAGGCGGAAUAUCAAGUCAGCGGUAACAAUUCGGGGCUCAACCCC
rnacentral:rRNA from 1 species